rnacentral:rRNA from 1 species
AUCGUACAACUUCCGUUAGGGGGACCUGCGGAGGGAUCAUU